AACGAACGCUGGCGGCAUGCCUAACACAUGCAAGUCGAACGAGAUCUUCGGGUCUAGUGGCGCACGGGUGCGUAACGCGUGGGAAUCUGCCCUUUGGUUCGGAAUAACAGUUGGAAACGACUGCUAAUACCGGAUGAUGACGAAAGUCCAAAGAUUUAUCGCCAGAGGAUGAGCCCGCGUAGGAUUAGCUAGUUGGUGUGGUAAAGGCGCACCAAGGCGACGAUCCUUAGCUGGUCUGAGAGGAUGAUCAGCCACACUGGGACUGAGACACGGCCCAGACCACUACGGGAGGCAGCAGUGGGGAAUAUUGGAGAAUGGGCGAAAGCCUGAUCCAGCAAUGCCGCGUGAGUGAUGAAGGCCUUAGGGUUGUAAAGCUCUUUUACCCGGGAUGAUAAUGACAGUACCGGGAGAAUAAGCUCCGGCUAACUCCGUGCCAGCCGCCGCCGUAA
rnacentral:rRNA from 1 species